rnacentral:rRNA from 1 species
AGGGCGCAUGGUGAAUGCCUUGGCAUCAGGAGCCGAUGAAGGACGUGAUAAGCUGCGAUAAGCUUCGGGUAGGCGCACAUAGCCAGAGAUCCGGAGAUUUCCGAAUGGGGAAACCCGCAUGAGAAACCUCAUGCAUCGUAAAGUGAAUACAUAGCUUUAUGAAGGAACACCUAGGGAACUGAAACAUCUAAGUACCUAGAGGAAGAGAAAGAAAAAUCGAUUUUCUUAGUAGCGGCGAGCGAAAAGGAAAGAGCCCAAACCAGAGAUUUAUCUCUGGGGUUGCGGACAGAACAUAACGUGAAAUUAUGAUUAACCGAACACAACUGGAAAGUUGGACCGUAGGAGGUAAUAGUCCUGUAAGUAAAAGUCAUAAUGAUCAGUUCUGCACCAGAGUACCACGAGACACGUGAAACCUUGUGGGAAGCAGGGAGGACCACCUCCCAAGGCUAAAUACUACCUGAUGACCGAUAGUGAAGCAGUACCGUGAGGGAAAGGUGAAAAGAACCCCGGGAGGGGAGUGAAAUAGAACCUGAAACCAUGUGCCUACAACCGAUCAAAGCACCUUAUGUGUGUGAUGAUGUGCUUUUUGUAGAACGAGCCAACGAGUUACGGUAUGUAGCGAGGUUAAGUACUUAAGGUACGGAGCCGAAGGGAAACCGAGUCUUAAUAGGGCGACUAGUUGCAUGCUGUAGACCCGAAACCGGGUGACCUAUCCAUGGCCAGGUUGAAGCGAGGGUAAAACCUCGUGGAGGACCGAACCACGUUGCUGUUGAAAAAGCAUGGGAUGAGCUGUGGAUAGCGGAGAAAUUCCAAUCGAACUCGGAUAUAGCUGGUUCUCCUCGAAAUAGCUUUAGGGCUAGCGUCGUGAAAUGUGAGUACUGGAGGUAGAGCACUGAAUAGGCUAGGGGGCAUAGCGCUUACCGAACCUUAUCAAACUCCGAAUGCCAGAUACUAUCAGCACGGCAGUCAGACUAUGAAAGAUAAGUUCCAUGGUCAAAAGGGAAACAGCCCAGAUCGUCAGCUAAGGUCCCAAAGUGUAAGUUAAGUGGAAAAGGAUGUGGGAUUUCUAAGACAACUAGGAUGUUGGCUUAGAAGCAGCCACUCAUUAAAAGAGUGCGUAAUAGCUCACUAGUCAAGAGAUCCUGCGCCGAAAAUGUCCGGGGCUCAAACUUACCACCGAAGCUACGGGUUCAUACUUUGUAUGAGCGGUAGAGGAGCGUCGUAAUCGGGCUGAAGUCGUACCGUAAGGAGCGGUGGACUGAUUACGAGUGAGAAUGUUGGCAUUAGUAGCGAGAUGUAGGUGAGAAUCCUACAGGCCGAAUAUCUAAGGUUUCCUGAGUAAAGUUUGUCUUCUCAGGGUUAGUCGGGACCUAAGGCGAGGCCGAGAGGCGUAGUCGAUGGACAAUUGGUUGAUAUUCCAAUACCACUAUAAUCGUUAUUAUCGAUGGUGUGACGGAGAAGGAUAGGAUGUGCCAGCUAUUGGAUGCUGGUCUAAGCGUUGAGGGAGUUAGAACAGGCAAAUCCGUUCUAACAAUCCUAGGGCGUGAUGGGGAAGGUUCUACGGAACCGAAGUAUCUGAUUUCAUGCUUCCAAGAAAAGCAUCUAGAAAGAGAAGUAGUGCCCGUACCGCAAACCGACACAGGUAGAUGAGGAGAGAAUCCUAAGGCCGACGGAAGAAUCACAGUUAAGGAACUAGGCAAAUUGACCCCGUAACUUCGGGAGAAGGGGUGCCUACCAUUUGGUAGGCCGCAGAGAAUAGGCACAAGCAACUGUUUAACAAAAACACAGGUCUCUGCUAAAGCGUAAGCUGAUGUAUAGGGGCUGACGCCUGCCCGGUGCUGGAAGGUUAAGGGGAACACUUAGCGCAAGCGAAGGUGUGAACUUAAGCCCCAGUAAACGGCGGCCGUAACUAUAACGGUCCUAAGGUAGCGAAAUUCCUUGUCAGGUAAGUUCUGACCCGCACGAAUGGCGUAAUGACUUGUGCACUGUCUCAACUGUGAAUCCGGCGAAGUUGUAGUGCGAGUGAAGAUGCUCGCUACCCGCGAUUGGACGGAAAGACCCCGUAGAGCUUUACUGUAGCUUAGCAUUGAAUUUCGGUAUUGUCUGUACAGGAUAGGUGGGAGACUGGGAAAUUAGGGCGUCAGCCUUAAUGGAGUCGUUGUUGGGAUACCACCCUGAUAGUAUUGAAGUUCUAACUGGAUGCCAUGAAACUGGUGACAGGACAUUGUUAGGUGGGCAGUUUGACUGG